UACAGAGGGUGCAAGCGUUGUUCGGAAUUAUUGGGCGUAAAGGGUGCGUAGGCGGUGCGGUAAGUCUGUAGUGAAAUCUCUGGGCUCAACUCAGAGUCUGCUAUAGAAACUGCCGUGCUUGAGUGUGGGAGAGGUGAGUGGAAUUCUCGGUGUAGAGGUGAAAUUCGUAGAUAUCGAGAGGAACACCGGUGGCGAAGGCGGCCAACUGGACGAAUACUGACGCUGAGACUCGAAAGCGUGGGGAGCAAACAGG
rnacentral:rRNA from 1 species